rnacentral:rRNA from 1 species
CCCUAUGGGGUGCAGCAGGCAGAAUGUAGUAUUGCCGUCGCCCCUCAGACAAUGGGUUAUAAACCCAGGUGAGAUAAUAUGAUGCAUCGGCUACACUGGUUUUCCCGAACUGUUUCUUUAAUUUCAGGCUGAACAUGGCACCACCGUCAGUGUAUCUGUUUCGUUGGUUCGAUACGUAAUUUCCCAGCGACCAUACUACAAUUUGUUCCCUGUUCAGGCUAUCGGCUUUGCGCCAUUCCAUUGGCUGGAUAACAUGCGGAUGUGAGCCAAUGAUGUAAUCGGCUCCGUUUUCGAUAAGGAAUUGGCGGGGGAGC